AACGAACGCUGGCGGCAUGCCUAAUACAUGCAAGUCGAACGAGAUCUUCGGAUCUAGUGGCGCACGGGUGCGUAACGCGUGGGAAUCUGCCCUUGGGUUCGGAAUAACUUCUGGAAACGGAAGCUAAUACCGGAUGAUGACGUAAGUCCAAAGAUUUAUCGCCCAAGGAUGAGCCCGCGUAGGAUUAGCUAGUUGGUGGGGUAAAGGCCCACCAAGGCGACGAUCCUUAGCUGGUCUGAGAGGAUGAUCAGCCACACUGGGACUGAGACACGGCCCAGACUCCUACGGGAGGCAGCAGUAGGGAAUAUUGGACAAUGGGGGAAACCCUGAUCCAGCAAUGCCGCGUGAGUGAUGAAGGCCUUAGGGUUGUAAAGCUCUUUUACCCGGGAUGAUAAUGACAGUACCGGGAGAAUAAGCUCCGGCUAACUCCGUGCCAGCCGCCGCCGUAA
rnacentral:rRNA from 1 species